AACAAGGCGUACCUGCGGACCUGCGGAAGGAUCAUUACAGAGUUGCAAAACUCCCUAAACCAUUGUGAACCUACCUUCUACCGUUGCUUCGGCGGGCGGGCCUAGCGCCCCCCCGGCCCCCCGCGGGCGCCCGCCGGAGGAUAACCAAACUCUUGACAUCAGUGGCCUCUCUGAGUAUUCUUUACUGAAUAAGUCAAAACUUUUAACAAUGGAUCU
rnacentral:misc_RNA from 1 species